AGCGAACGCUGGCGGCAGGCCUAACACAUGCAAGUCGAACGCGUGUAGCAAUACACGAGUGGCAGACGGGUGAGUAACACGUGGGAACGUGCCCUUCGGUUCGGAAUAACUCAGGGAAACUUGAGCUAAUACCGGAUACGCCCUUACGGGGAAAGAUUUAUCGCCGAUGGAUCGGCCCGCGUCUGAUUAGCUAGUUGGUGAGGUAACGGCUCACCAAGGCGACGAUCAGUAGCGGUCUGAGAGGAUGAUCAGCCACACUGGGACUGAGACACGGCCCAGACUCCUACGGGAGGCAGCAGUGGGGAAUAUUGGACAAUGGGGGAAACCCUGAUCCAGCCAUGCCGCGUGAGUGAUGAAGGCCCUAGGGUUGUAAAGCUCUUUCGGCGGGGACGAAUAAUGACGGUACCCGCAGAAGAAGCCCCGGCUAACUCGUGCCAGCCGCCGCC
rnacentral:rRNA from 1 species